rnacentral:rRNA from 1 species
GACGAACGCUGGCGGCGUGCUUAACACAUGCAAGUCGAACGAAGAGCGACGGAAGCUUGCUUCUAUCAAUCUUAGUGGCGAACGGGUGAGUAACGCGUAAUCAACCUGCCCUUCAGAGGGGGACAACAGUUGGAAACGACUGCUAAUACCGCAUACGAUCUAAUCUCGGCAUCGAGGAUAGAUGAAAGGUGGCCUCUACAUGUAAGCUAUCACUGAAGGAGGGGAUUGCGUCUGAUUAGCUAGUUGGAGGGGUAACGGCCCACCAAGGCGAUGAUCAGUAGCCGGUCUGAGAGGAUGAACGGCCACAUUGGGACUGAGACACGGCCCAGACUCCUACGGGAGGCAGCAGUGGGGAAUCUUCCGCAAUGGACGAAAGUCUGACGGAGCAACGCCGCGUGAGUGAUGACGGCCUUCGGGUUGUAAAGCUCUGUUAAUCGGGACGAAAGGCCUUCUUGCAAAUAUU